UCCACUUUUUAAUAAAAUGUCACAGAUCCUGACUCCCCUGGAAUACUCUGAAUCCAUCUGUACUCUGGAUAGAGUCAUUUGCUUGGAUUGGAGUUCUGUUUUUGAUCUUCUCUCUCACAGCUGUGUCUAGCCUGGGACUCAAUGGUGGCAACUAAGGAGAAACACAUAUCUUCUUGUAUCCUUUUGGUAUGAGUAAGUGCUCUACUCACGGUUUGUAUUUAGUACUAUCAAUAAAACUUACAGGUAGGUCAGAGGUGAUUUUGAUUAUAUUUCAGAACUAGACUAAUGAAGGGAACAUAAGGGAAAAAGCAUCCUUUACUGGAAAGGAUGGCCAGGUGUACAGUUUCUUCCAGGAAUAUCCAGGUUUCUCUGUGCCGCAGAAGAUGGAAGGAGUAUGAAAUGAAGAGACCUAGAAGGUUUCCUGAAACUCAUAGCCAGGCAUUGGUAGAUGGUGAUGGGGAAGGCUCUCAGUCUGGAAAAUAGAAAAUGCUGGUGGACAAUGGAGAUCUCCUUCCAGAUCCUCUGUUUAAGGAAGGUGCCUUGGGCAGCCAUUUCAUCAUUUCCCACCUGGCAGCAUUCCUUUGGACGUCAUCAUGCCUCUGCACUAUCUACCCUCCUAGCCCCACCCCCAUUUUCUUUUUAGGUGCUGUCUUCCCUAUUAGAUUGUGAGCUCCUAGAGGAUGUG